UACGUAGGCAGCAAGCGUUGUUCGGAGUUACUGGGCGUAAAGAGUGCGUAGGCGGUUGACCAAGUCUGCUGUGAAAUCUCCCGGCUUAACUGGGAGGGUGCGGUGGAAACUGGUUGGCUUGAGAGUGGGAGAGGUAAGCGGAAUUCCUGGUGUAGCGGUGAAAUGCGUAGAUAUCAGGAGGAACACCGGUGGUGUAGACGGCUUACUGGACCACGACUGACGCUGAGGCACGAAAGCGUGGGUAGCAAACAGG
rnacentral:rRNA from 1 species